CUCAUUUUGAUGCCUCUCGCUACCCCUGGCCUUAGUUUUAAAGGAAUCAUGCGACACACUCGCAUCCCACUACCCCAUCCCAUGGAAAAACGCUCCCACCAUCGAGGUGUUGACCAAAAUUUCGCUAUGUGCAUGAAACACACACUCGCACUCCUCCAGCCCUCCACAGCUGAACGCUCCCACCGUUGCGAAUUUGCGAGAAUUUUUGCUCUGAGCGUGAGACCCUGAAGCGCCAGAGAUGACACUAUGUGUAAAGACGAUCAUAAUUCGAUAUGGUCAAAAUGCGUCGAUUAUCGUUUCAUUUAUCUGGUAAUGAUGUUUUCACUUCAUCAAAAUUUUAAACAUUAACAACUAGGCUGAUAACAAUAAUUGAAAUGUAAAUCAGAAUAAAUUAAAUUCAUUUGAAGUAAAAUGAAUUCCAUUAUACUCUAUUUUGACCACAUGAUCAACUCUUGUACAUAGUGCCAUUUACUUUGUGUUCUUCACUCUCGCGCUGUGUUGUGAUCGUUCGAAACUCAUUGCCAGAACGAAUGCAAAUUUCAUUUGGGAAGGAUCGGUGCCGGAAGAUGCAGUGAAAAUUAUAUAAUGUUUAUAGAAAAGUGGUUAAGUAAAUCGUGAAAGAUGUAAACGCAGGCGUAACUGCAGUUUGUUUUGUUACAUGAUCUACGGCUAUUUCAUUACCAAAGCACCUGAUAACCGAUCAAAGAAGGUGAAUCGGGCUUACAGAGUCGCCGUUUAACUUCAAAUAUCUUCGUGAUCGGAAAACGCAUCAAACAACAAGUGUUUUUCUUCCAACAGCUCGCGCCAUCGGUGGAGCAAGCAGCCAACGAUUUGAUCGCCAGUACGCGCCAUCAAGAAUUGAUAUUUUGCCAAACAGUACUGUGAAUAAAAAACUGCACACUUACUGUCGGAA